rnacentral:rRNA from 1 species
AUUGAACGCUGGCGGCAGGCUUAACACAUGCAAGUCGAGCGGGGGAAGGUAGCUUGCUACCGGACCUAGCGGCGGACGGGUGAGUAAUGCUUAGGAAUCUGCCUAUUAGUGGGGGACAACAUCUCGAAAGGGAUGCUAAUACCGCAUACGUCCUACGGGAGAAAGCAGGGGAGCUUCGGACCUUGCGAUAAUAGAUGAGCCUAAGUCGGAUUAGCUAGUCGGUGGGGUAAAGGCCUACCAAGGCGACGAUCUGUAGCGGGUCUGAGAGGAUGAUCCGCACACUGGGACUGAGACACGGCCCAGACUCCUACGGGAGGCAGCAGUGGGGAAUAUUGGACAAUGGGGGGAACCCUGAUCCAGCCAUGCCGCGUGUGUGAAGAAGGCCUUAUGGUUGUAAAGCACUUUAAGCGAGGAGGAGGCUACUUUAGUUAAUACCUAGAGAUAGUGGACGUUACUCGCAGAAUAAGCACCGGCUAACUCUGUGCCAGCCGCCGCAGUAA